rnacentral:rRNA from 1 species
GACAGAGGGGGCAAGCGUUGCUCGGAAUUACUGGGCGGAAAGCGUGCGCAGGCGGUUUUGUAAGCCAGAUGUGAAAGCCCCGGGCUUAACCUGGGAAUGGCAUUUGGGACUGCAAGGCUUGAGUGCGGCAGAGGAGACUGGAAUUCCUGGUGUAGCAGUGAAAUGCGUAGAUAUCGUCAAGAACACCGAUAGUGAAGACAGCUUACUAGGCUUAUACUGACGCUGAGGCACGAAAGUGUGGGGAUCAAACAGG